CCUUAUAUCAGCUUCUAUCUGUGUCCGAAAAUUUGUUUCUGCCAACAAUGCCCCAGCUAAAAAUGCUCCAAGCGUAUCACUAAAGCCCAACUUUUGUGUGAUAAGGGAAGUCCCAGUAACUGUUAACAGACAAAGAGCAACAAAGGCUUCUGAGCUCCUUGCUUCUGCCACAACCUCAAAAACUCGCCUUAGAAUAUAUUUUCCCCCAAGAGAAAGCAAUCCCAAUCCACCUAAAGCCUUUAAACUUUCUUUAGCAAGCAUUGGCCAGAUACUUUCCUCAAC
rnacentral:misc_RNA from 1 species